GAACGCUGGCGGCAGGCCUAACACAUGCAAGUCGAACGGAGUUAUAUUGUAGCUUGCUAUAGUAUAACUUAGUGGCAGACGGGUGAGUAAUGUAUAGGAAUCUACCUAGUAGUACGGAAUAAUUGUUGGAAACGGCAACUAAUACCGUAUACGCCCUACGGGGGAAAAAUUUAUUGCUAUUAGAUGAGCCUUAUUAGAUUAGCUAGUUGGUGGAGUAAUAGCCUACCAAGGCAAUGAUCUAUAGCUGAUCUGAGAGGAUGAUCAGCCACACUGGAACUGAGAUACGGUC
rnacentral:rRNA from 1 species